UUGUUUUUUUUUUUUUUUAUUUUUUGGUGAGAGACAGAUAACAUGCUAUCCGAUUCGUUUAUUUUAUUUAAAAAUAAAUUUAGCUGAAAAUGUGAAUCAACUGGGAUUCGAACUUGGGACCUCGGGUGCGAACCACUAAAAUCUUUUGCCACUUACGCUAGGAACAGUAGGUCAAACUUCUAUAAAUGUUGGAGCUAUAAAUAUAUGGAAAAGUCGCCAGUACUAUUUCAAAUAAAUUCUAUUUAAAUAUUACUUUUGAGACAUUUUAA
rnacentral:lncRNA from 1 species